AGAGUUUGAUCCUGGCUCAGGACGAACGCUGGCGGCGUGCUUAAUACAUGCAAGUCGAACGUGAAUCCCGACUUCGGUUGGGAUGAAAGUGGCGAACGGGUGAGUAACACGUAAGUAAUCUGCCUUCAAGUUUGGGAUAACCCUGCCAACGCGGGGCUAAUACCGGAUGUGGUCCAGCUGACACAUGUUGGCUGGAUUAAAGGUCGCGAGGCCGCUUGGAGAUGAGCUUGCGGCCCAUUAGUUAGUUGGUGAGGUAACAGCCCACCAAGGCGACGAUCCAUAGCCGGCCUGAGAGGGUGAACGGCCACAUUGGGACUGAGACACGGCCCAAACUCCUACGGGAGGCAGCAGUAGGGAAUCCUCCGCAAUGGACGAAAGUCUGACGGAGCAACGCCGCGUGAGUGAAGAAGGUCUUCGGAUCGUAAAACUCUGUUAUCAGGGAAGAACAAGUACCGGAGUUACUGCCGGUACCUUGACGGUACCUGACCAGAAAGCCACGGCUAACUACGUGCCAGCAGCCGCGGUAAU
rnacentral:rRNA from 1 species